rnacentral:rRNA from 1 species
UACGAAGGGGGCUAGCGUUGCUCGGAAUCACUGGGCGUAAAGGGCGCGUAGGCGGACUUUUAAGUCGGGGGUGAAAGCCCAGGGCUCAACCCUGGAAUUGCCUUCGAUACUGAGAGUCUUGAGUUCGGAAGAGGUUGGUGGAACUGCGAGUGUAGAGGUGAAAUUCGUAGAUAUUCGCAAGAACACCAGUGGCGAAGGCGGCCAACUGGUCCGAUACUGACGCUGAGGCGUGAAAGCGUGGGGAGCAAACAGG